UGAGGGAGGAGGUGUCGAUUAAGCAGAUAAGAGAGGAACGCUUGUUUUUACUUUUGCCUGCAUGUUUUACUUGAGAGGAGCCGUGAGUGCAGUGCAGCAUUGUGAUACGGAGCGAGGCUAUUACAUGCAGGAAAUCCUCCCCGGAGGCGAUCGGGACGUGUGGAGGAAUGCGCUGAGGGAGCGGCUGUUUGUGCGACACAAACACGAGGAUGAGGAACGCACACUGUCAGCCAAACAUAAUAUGUUGAGGCGACAUGUUUGGUAGAAGAGGCCGGAGGAAGCUGUAACCUGUUCCUGCCUGGAGCCACCUCCAUGAAUCAGACGCUGACUUCGUUCAGUCGCUCCGCAGCUUCUUUUUGUGCCAUAAGUUCUUUAAAUAAAUCAAAGUAAUACUGAACAAAGGCGGUCGGGAUAAUUCUCUGCACUUUGUUGUGGCGCUCCGCCGGCCGCGCUCUGGGGCUCCUCCCGCUCUCGUGUUUGUAUCUCAGUUGAGCACAGUCAGCGUUUCUCUUCCUGCUCCUAUCUGUGGAGUGGCGUGGCCCCUGGUCCUGUAUCGCACAGUCGCUUCAUUACACCGCGCUGUUAUCGACUGACUACCAACAAGCCACUGGCAGGAAGGAACGCGUUCAGCCCAACGUGGCAGCGGAAGCCAGUUCUCUCUGUGCCGCACGCGUCGGAGGCGAGAACAACAUGUUGGAGCCGUGAUUUAUGACGCGGAGGGCAAGGGAUGCGUUUGUGUGCCUGCUAGACUUCAAAUUGAGGCUUUAAUUGAAAAACGGACACGUAGGCGCCGUGUGCGGUGUCAAGCAGAAGCAGUUUCGUGAAUGAAUUUAGUCUCGUUAAUGAAGGAUAAUUCUUUUGUUGAAUUCACAGUACCUGCUGCAAACGCCUGCUUUUUAUCUGCAGUAUGAGUCAUUACAGUAAUUGAGAACAUUAUAAACAUGUUCCUUUUUUUCUUUUCACUAGUUAUGAAGAAACAUUGAUGGUUUAAUUUCACUCGCCCCUCAUCUUUUGUAUUUGAGCUCGUACAUGUGGGCUCACAGAACAAAGCUAAGGUCUUGCUUCGAACUAGUGUGAAAUUUGUUCAGUUCAGUUCAGUUGAACUGCUGUAGAUCCAGAAAUAGCUCGCCUUAAAGUCAUUACAUCGUUUAUGUGGCUUCUUGUGGUCCAGACACAGAACCCUGGAACAUUCUAACAAACCUCGGCGUGAAUAGAAGACUAACCAUUAACACAAAAAUCACAUCCUGUCUGGAAGCGACUAUUCAGACCAACCCAGCGCUGUUCCUUUAAUCCCACUGAGGCGUUUCGGGCCGUGUAAUAAAAUCCGGUGAUGCAUCCAGCAGUUAAUACGGACAUGCUGAUUCAAGGUAAAGCAUUUUGAGGUCUAGGAUGACGAUAAGGUCUAACAGACAGAAUUAAUUACCGAGCCCAUUAUAGAACAUGUAAACACACUUUAAUGCCACCUGCAGCGACUUUCUUCUCCUUCGUAGCUGCAGAUGUGUGACUGCGGCGUAGGCGGGAGCAGCCCAGCGGUCUCUCCGCUCGUCCCACUGGGCUCCUCAGAAGCUCCGCGCAGACGACACCCGCUCACGCCCACGCGCUCGCAGCAGACGUGAUCAGGGGCUACUUAAAGGCAGCAGCUCUCCCACUUGAGCACUUGUUUAUGGGCUGCGAGCACACUUGGUCUCGCGGCCCGGACCGCUGUGUAUUCUUCCGUGCAAACAACCGGCGACACAGGCGGAAACAGAGACGUGUAAAUAAACACACACGCGCGCUCGCCGCGCACGCGUGCGGCGACAGUAUUUGCUUACACGUGUUUUCCCGGAGAGAGGGAAUUUGUUUUUCCGCCAGCACUUUUACCUCGUCCCUAUAUCUGGCCCUUAAUGGAGUGGUGAGUAGACAGCGGAUGGCUGUAGGACUCCACAGACAAAUUAAAACCCAAUUAUGUUUUAAUUUCACGCUCUUUUAUUGAGCCUGAUAAUAAAAAAAAAUGAAUAGUGACUCAGGAGGGAGGAUGGAAGGAAAACAGAGGACGGCUGGAGAGAGGCCAAAGGCAGAAUAAUACACCAGAGACUGUAACUGUUAACUCCUCCCCUGUGAUUUCUAUCAGCAUUCUGCCGUCUGUCUCCAUCAGGGUGAGUCAAUCUCCCUGCAGCCUCAGGCCUAGAAGGAUGUGCAAGCAGACGCACAGUCGCACACGCCUGGAGCUUAUACUUUAUAAGUGGCCUCCGCUUUACAUCAUCCCCUCUGACUGGCGAGCGGCCUCGUCCGACUGAUCUGAUCUGGGAGCAGCUGUGCUCUGACUUCACUGAUGGAUCGUGUCCAGGUCACUUCCAUCAUCAGCUGUAACUCCCUGGUUUGCAAGUUGACGCGUUAAGAGGAUUCUGCAGCUAUUUAUUUUAAAAAAAAAAAAAAAAAGCUCAGACGACAGAGCUGCGCUACAAGUGUCCGCGGGUUCUCUUCAGCCGCACGCGCUCCAUUGUUAUGAAUCGCUGCUCCUGCAGAGACCAGCCGUCACAGACACACACCCUCCUGUUGCCCUUCGCUACACUAUCUGCCGUAAUUGAUUGAUUGGACAAGAGAACACAACAGACACAAUUAGUUCACCCUGGUCAUCUCGUUAGUGAUUCCCCGGGGACCCUGUUGACAUGUUACACACCCACCUCCUCUCUUUCCUUUCCCCCCCCCGCUGCCCUGUUUCCAUUCCUCCUCCACAUUUUUCUUUCCAAUCAAGCUCAAGGCUCUGGCUUUUGCCCUUCCUCUGCGUUUUUUGUCACGCCAGCGCUCUCCGCCCCCACCCU